AGACCCUGCCCAUGAGUUUCAUCUACUGAGCCUUCCUUCAAGUUCCCAGCUGAUUAGACUGUAAGCUCUCCAAGGGCAGGGACCAUGGCUGGUCACCUUUGUUAUCCUCAUACCUGGGAUGCAUCAGGAUAACUAUUCAUUGAAUAGGUGAUGACUGUCUUCUGGGAGACUCCUCUGACUGGGAAGCCAUCAGUCAUAUUCGUAACUGGGAUGUGAAUCACGUCUCCAGAACAGAGCAUAAUAACCAAACCUCCCAGGACAUAUCCUCUCAGGCGAACAUUUUACUGUGACACUCCUUUUCCUCCUACCUGUGCAGAAAAGAAAUUCAAACAGCCUGCUUGUUCCACACGUCGGUGUCUUGCUGGAUAAGAAUUCUGUUGCUUUCUAGAACUGUGAGACUUAAACUGGUUACAAGAUGCCAGUAGUGAACCCUUGACCUAUUUAAUCAAUGCAGAUUAUAAAUGUGUUUAUAUGAUGUCAAUUGCUAUUUAAGCAGGAACCCAUUUUCAGUUUUAGUAUUUAGGGGGGUGGUUUUUAUUUUUUUGUUAUCUUUUUUUCCUUUUUGAAAAAUGCUGGGGGCUAUUUUGAUAAGGUUAGUCAUGCAUGUUAGAGUUUCAUUUUGCAAGUAUGUCUUGUCUUUUUUAAUGUGUAAAAAUAUAAGAAAAGGGAAAACAGUAAGAAGGGGAAGCAAUUACAUUAUUUUUCGGUAGUUUAUUAAGGCACCUAAUGGGUGCCUUAUGCAUAGUGGAACACCAUUUGUGUGAGAAGUAUAUGUGAGAAUAUAGACUGUAAAAGUCACAUGAUCUAGACCUGCAGAGGAACACUGACUAAGAGAAGGAGACACCAGCAUGGCAAACUUUGUGUCACAGGUGAGUUAUUUUCAGUUGGGGGCUCAGAUUCAGUUUCUGGAAUAAGGGAGACCAUUAAGAAAACCAAACUUCUGGAACUGUAUCUCACAAAGUUUUGAGACAUGUAGAUUUCAGAGUUUAGCCGAAUUGGAACUAAUCAUUCUGUAGCUAUCUAUAUAAACCUCAUUCUUCUUGCCAUCUGGCUUAUGGGUUGAUAAUUGGUGGGCAACAACCCUACUGCUACUGUUUAAAAAAAAUCGUAACCCUUUCCCCUUAAGGUGUUAAAUUCAAACGAUUUUUGUUUAAUGAAAGAAUUCUAUUUUGUUCGUUUGAUGGUCCCAGAAAACACUAAUAAAGACCACAGAGGCCA
rnacentral:lncRNA from 1 species